CCAAUUAGAUACAUGGUUCAACCCCCACGUCUCCUCCCCUCAGAUAACAUAUAACAUAAUUAAAACAGACACAAUUUUAACCACAUUCUGGAUGUACCCCAAAAACAGGGGGUACACCUUUAAGUCCAGCACUUAAUAGCUCUCACUCAGGGGAACAAUAUAUCCAAAUUUCAGCCCAUUCGGUUGAGGGGUUCGGGAGUUAUGGAUCUUUGAAGUUUUGACCGA